UACGGAGGGUGCAAGCGUUAUCCGGAUUCACUGGGUUUAAAGGGUGCGUAGGUGGGCUAGUAAGUCAGUGGUGAAAUCUCCGGGCUUAACCCGGAACUGCCAUUGAUACUAUAGUCUUGAAUACCAUGGAGGUGAGCGGAAUAUGUCAUGUAGCGGUGAAAUGCUUAGAUAUGACAUACGAACACCAAUUGCGAAGGCAGCUCGCUACGCGGUUAUUGACACUGAGGCACGGAAAGCGUGGGAUCAAACAGG
rnacentral:rRNA from 1 species